GUGACCAGAGCGCGUGCGCGAGGGUGUGGGGGGAUGGGAGGGGCAGCAGCCCUCUUCCGGGGGGGAGGGGCGGCGAGGCGAGGCCUGCGGAGCGGAGGAAGACAAACAUAAAGAUGAAGUGCUUAAUUCAAGGUCACACAAUGUCGGGGAUGGACCUCCAGAUUUCCUUACUGACCUGCAUUAUCUUGUGGAUACCUGAGUGAAUUCCACACCACCCAUUUUAUAGAUGAAACCACUGAGACAUGGAGCAAUUGACUGAGUAGUCACUGCCCCACCCCUGCCUGGAGCCUCACACAUGACUCGCCUCCUCUCAGUGACCACAGGUUGGUUGAGGGGUUUAACAAGGCUAAGAAGGAAAACAAGCUCAGGGCUCCCACUGAUUGUACAUUAUGGUGAGACGUGGUCUUGUAACACAGUGGUUAAGAAUGUGACUUUGGAGCCAGCCUGCUAGGGGCUGAAUUCUGACUCAGCCAUUUACUAACUGUGUGACCUUAGGGAGGAGGACCUGGUUGAUAGAAGAAUUUAUCUCGUAGUCUUAACAUCCACUGUAAUUCCAAACUUUGAGGACGAUAGAGAUCAGUGGGCUUUGACUGCCCAGCAUGCAGUCUCCAUUCUUAGGUGGGUUCCCAAGCCUGUAAAAUGUAAGCCUUAUGCUGCUGAGGGCCAUCUUGCCACCCUGAGGGAAACGCUGCCUGAGAAUGAAACAAGCAUAAGUAAAAGCUGAGCUGUGAGAUGGAGCAAGAUGAAGGCCACAUGACAUCUUUGGAGCACCUGGAUCUAACUGUGCCUUAAGCUAGUCUAACCCUGAACAUUUCAUCAUUUCAUUGACAUGAGCCCAGGUUUUCUUUUUUUUUGGAUGGAGUCUUGCUCUGUCGCCCAGGCUGGAGUGCAGUAGCUCAAUCUCGGCUCACUGCAAGCUCCACCUCCCGGGUUCACGCCAUUCUCCUGCCUUAGCCUCCCAAGUAGCUGGGACAACAGGCGCCCACCACCACUCCCAGCUAAUUUUUUGUAUUUUUAGUAGAGACGGGGUUUUACCAUGUUAGCCGGGAUGGUCUUGAUCUCCUGACCUCAUGAUCCGCCCGCCUCGGCCUCCCAAAGUGCUGGGAUUACAGGUGUGAGCCACUGCACCCAGCCCUCAGGUUUUCCCUUUUUUUACCCCUCCUUUUGAAAAUUUGAUGUGGAAUUUUGCCACCUGCAGCCAGAAGAGUUUUAACUAAUCAGUGCCAUAAAUUUUAUAUAGUUCUCCUUGCAAAAUGUGGAUCAGCCUUUCUCAGCAAAUCCUUUGUCAUAAAGUGCUGAAUUGUAAGUUUGUCAUGAGAAUCACAUGAGAUCAUGCAUGUGAAGAACCUGGCAUUAUCCUCCUCAUAGAAAAAAACCAGUAAAUAUUAACUACAGGAAGCAAGGAAGGAGUGGGGUGAGGGGAAGAAGAAGGGGUACUGAUUUAAAAGAACCCUGGAGUCCUAAGGAUAAUCUAGGAACCCUCAGACCCAAUCCGAUACCCCUAUUCUAAAUGCUCCUAGUGCCCUGUACCUUCCCCUCAUAAGCCUUCAUUAUCAUUGUAAUGAUAUGUUUAUGUAAUAUUUUGAUUAAUGUCUCUCCUUCACUGACCUAGCAGUUCUAGCAGGGCAGUGAUUUUGCUGUGUUGCAUCCCCAGCACCUAGUCUGGUAUGUGGCAUUCAGCAUAUGUUUAUUGAAUGAAUGGCCAUGUGGUUAUUCAGAUCCUCCUUGAUUAUUGGGGUUAGGAUUGUGGCAGAAGUGGCAAAAUCAGGGAGAGUAGUCCCUGUCCCCUCUGUAUCUUAUACACUGCCCACACUCCCAACACACAUACACAUACAGAGAAUUUUGUCUCAAUUAGAUAAUUAACUUCUGCUUGGUUGUAAACCAAACCACUGGUUCUUAAACUUUCAUUGGAUCAUUUUAUUGAAGAAUUAAAUAGUGUGGUUCUGGCCUAAUGUCUGGAAAGCCUUGCAGAGGAGUGGAUUAGGUCUUUGUGAUAAACAGGCAGCCUUCCCUGCUCCUGUGUCUUUAUAAAAUCUAUUUAACUGGAGUAGUCCACCCUCCCUCAGGCUCUUACAGGAAUAUGUUGGAGGCUGUAGGAAGGUGGGAAACCGAGAGGGAAAGGACUGGGCCGCUGGAGACUUCACUCAUUCCCUAGCAAGAAACAAAAGCAGUAAAAGGUGGCCCGAGGACAACCUGAAGCUCACUCCUUCAGCACUUUUGGCUGGAGGUCACUUGUUGGAGCCCCACUCAGAGCUCAGCACACCACCCCACCAGCAGCCUCCUCCUCCCAGCUGAGGCUGCAUUUCAUCCCUUCCCCCAGCCUGCUUUCCCUGAGAUAGGGGAGUGUUUCCCAGGGCCCAUGUGACUUCCACUGGCAAGUGACGAUUACCAAUGGUUUACUAGUCAGUGAAACUACCAAAGGCUUUUGUGCUGUAGUAAUCCUUUUCCUGUUUAAAACUCUGGGGAUUUUCUAAUGUUGCCAAUAGUUUUUCAAGUCAGCAAUUACUGUGUGGAUUAUGUAAUGGCUCGGUAUUAAAAAUAGAAAAGACUGGAGUUUGCAUCUAUUUUAACCAAAUCUUGAAAACAGAGCAAAGGGAGGGGAAGGGUGGAGAGGGAGAGACCAGAGGAGGAGGGAGAAAAAGAGAUCAUGUGACUGGAUAAGACAGCUCACAAUUCACUGUGCCUUUCUCCCACCAUUUGUGGCCCAAGGACCUGUACUCCCUCCUCAGCCUCCUCUAGGGAGGGGUCCUUGAUGAGAAUUCUGAGGACACAAGACCCCUUGUGGAUAUUUCUUAGCUCAGCCUUGGUGUGCUUACCUGCUUCUGACAAGCAAAGUGGCCAAGUAGGGGAGGGAGUUGAAUCUGAUGUCCUCCACUAAGUCCAG
rnacentral:lncRNA from 1 species